AUCACGGUACAUGCGAGUAAGCCAAUAAAGAACGAGCGCCCUCUAUACUUCAAUAGGAGUAAACAUUUUUGUUAACAGUAAACAUUUUGACAAAAAUUAAAAAAUAAAAAUAUCGCCAAAACGAUUUUUAGUAAACUGUUUGCUCAUUUAUAUUUUUAGUUUUUACUCAGCCCAAGGGGGGGGCGGUCCACCUAUCGCCCCCCCCGUAAAACCGCCACUGGUCAUGGCACGGGUUAAAUGCUUAGAUCAUGUAAUAAAGUUAAAAGUAUAUCUAACUAUCAGCUAAGUACCUACAUAAUAUUUAAUUUGUCCUCGGUCAUGGUCACUGUAAGAUAUACCAUCUACCUAUUAUAGUAGCUAUGUAUGUAUAAUAGUCAUGGUUAUCAGUUAUCACUUAUUUGCACCAUGUGAUUACCGUGAUAAAUAAUAAACUUCAAAAAUCAAAAUUAAAAACUCGAUACUAAGUCAGAAUGAAAAUAUCUUGUAACGCCAUGAAUAAAAUUCAAAGUGUUACAAAGUAUACAUUUGUGCAAGCUGUUGAAAGAAUGAGACAAGUUCAGAAAACUGUUUUUUUCCUUUAUACCUAAGAAUUUGCACAAUUAAAACAAUUUAUUAAAUAAUUUUAUCAAGGAUCACUGACUUUUGACAAAUUAAUUGUUGGUUCAAUAUUAAACAUAUUAUUAAAAUCAUCAGAUAAACUUAAAAAUGUUAAAAAUAUCAGGAGGUAAUGGGACUUUUAAAAUAAUCCUAAAACCAAUUGAUGUGGAUUGUUAUCAAUUCUUUAUAUCUCAAGUAAUAUAUAAGGAUAUUGUAAUAUCAUUGGCAAAACUCCUGGCCUAAAUAAGGCAUUACUUUGGGACCUGAUAUUAUUUAAAAUUACUCGUGAAUUUAAUAAAAUUAGAUUUAUUAGUUCUUUUUUUGUGUAGACUUUAUACAAUUUUUAGAAAACCAGUAGUGUUCCAUCAAAUAUCAAACAAUAUAACAUAGGUACAUUCUAUACAUUUACAAGCUUAAAUUUAAUAAUUAUUAUUUAACUAUUGAAAUAAAAUACCACAUUUUAAAUUCA